rnacentral:rRNA from 1 species
GUGAGGAAUAUUGCGCAAUGGAGGCAACUCUGACGCAGCCAUGCCGCGUGCAGGAAGAAGGCGCUACGCGUUGUAAACUGCUUUUAACCGGGAAGAAACCCCAGGACGUGUCCUGGGUUGACGGUACCGGAGGAAUAAGCACCGGCUAACUUCGUGCCAGCAGCCGCGGUAAUACGAAGGGUGCAAGCGUUAUCCGGAUUCAUUGGGUUUAAAGGGUGCGUAGGCGGAGCGUUAAGUCAGUGGUGAAAUCCUGCAGCUUAACUGUAGACUUGCCAUUGAUACUGGCGCUCUUGAGUGCGCUUGAAGUGGGCGGAAUGUGCCGUGUAGCGGUGAAAUGCUUAGAUAUGGCACAGAACACCAAUUGCGAAGGCAGCUCACUAAGGCGAUACUGACGCUGAGGCACGAAAGCGCGGGGAUCGAACAGGAUUAGAUACCCCGGUAGUCC